AAUAAAAAUUUGAAAAAACGAGUAGGUCUAUGGAAACUUACAGAGAGUGAGCGGUUGGUGAAAGCUCACAGUUAAAGUGGAUUCGAAAAUCAUUUUUCUUUUGCAAGUCUGAAAAUAGUAAGAUUUGACGCUUUGGUAGGCGUUAUCUAUACCCGGCAUUGAUUGAUGCUUGAGAGCUUAUUAUUUUAAUAAGAAUAAAAGGUGGUAACGCGGAAAAUUUCGUCCUUUGU
rnacentral:ncRNA from 1 species